rnacentral:rRNA from 1 species
CAGUAGCCGCGGGAAUACGUGGGUGGCAAGCGUUGUCCGGAAUUAUUGGGCGUAAAGGGCUCGCAGGCGGUUUCUUAAGUCUGAUGUGAAAGCCCCCGGCUCAACCGGGGAGGGUCAUUGGAAACUGGGAAACUCGAGUGCAGAAGAGGAGAGUGGAAUUCCACGUGUAGCGGUGAAAUGCGUAGAGAUGUGGAGGAACACCAGUGGCGAAGGCGACUCUCUGGUCUGUAACUGACGCUGAGGAGCGAAAGCGUGGGGAGCGAACAGGAUUAGAUACCCCAGUAGUCCCUGUCUCUUAUAA